GGGGAAAGUCUAAAUAGUUUCAUUCGAUAAAAAGACUUGCUUUCUGACAAGAACUGAAUCUGCCUAAGUGACUGGAAUUGGAAUUGGAAGACUUGAAGCCCUUAGAGUCCGUAAAAGGCUCCCAUUUCCCUUUGAUUUUGGGAAACUCUAAAUGGUUUGAGUUCAUAAGGAUUCUCCCAUCUUCCUUUGGAAAGAUCAGGAACCAGCGGGAUCCAGUGGCAAGAUAUAUUUCAGAAUGACUUGAGAUGGACUUAGAUGAAGGAGGAGACUUUGGUCAUUUUAAGUUAACAUCUUUCCCAUGUUUGACUGAGGCAACAUUCCGUGAUUAAGACUAGGCAUUUUUGCGUGAAUUUUGAGAGGGAAGUUCAAGAAGGGGCAAUCUUUCUGUUUGAGAAAUGUUCAGUGGUCACAGAAUGUUUUAUACUAAAUGCCUUGAAAUUCUUGGAAGAAAGAUACUAUAUACAAAAUAUAAAUACAAGCAAGAUCAUUUCUUUUUAAAAAAUGGUAAUAAAUGAUUUUUAAAGCACAGAGAUUAUAAGAAUA